UUAAUUCAGAAUGUGCACCUGAUGCGGAAACGAUUGCUGCACUGCUGCAGACGAACCGCUCAAGGAACGCACCACCGGACCCCAACCGUGUGCAAUGUGAAUGCUUUAAUCCGUUAAAAUGAGCGUGGAAAAAUACGCACCACGUAUGCACUGCAACGGAUGUUAACCUGACAAUAUGUGUGUGCGCUUCGAGUGUGCAUGAGCGAUGAGAAUGGUUUAAACAAUGGCAAGAAUUAAAAAUAAAUGCAAUUUAUAAACUUUAGUGACGAUAAUGCGACACUGCCUCGAUUGUGCAAGUGACAAUUCCUGUGUCAGAAAACUUGAGAUGACGUCACGAGGAAAAAAGCUAUUAUAGCUGUUUGCAGAGGAUCCAAGUGAUGUAACGCCUAAUUUCUCCAGAU